GUUGAGCAAGAUCCCUAGGAGACAAAUGCCAGCGAGGAUAUGGCGUUGGUCACCUUCGAGCCUAAGCCAGGCUGCAAGACUUCCCCAAUAGUGGUGCAGCACUAUGAGCUCUUCGCUCAGUUUGAGCAAAAAUAUCAACGCUCCAACCGCUUCGUGGCUCGCCAUCUUAAGCGCCUCAAGUAGAUACUUAAUUUUGUUGCUUGUAGUCACAAGAAUCCGACAUGUGGAUGCCUAGUGGUAAUUGAAAAUAGUAUGUUCA
rnacentral:lncRNA from 1 species